rnacentral:rRNA from 1 species
AUUGAACGCUGGCGGCAGGCCUAACACAUGCAAGUCGAACGAGUGGCGGACGGGUGAGUAAUGUCUGGGAAACUGCCCGAUGGCGGGGGAUAACUACUGGAAACGGUAGCUAAUACCGCAUACUAUCAGAUGUGCCCAUAUGGGAUUAGCUAGUUGGUGGGGUAACGGCUCACCAAGGCGACGAUCCCUAGCUGGUUUGAGAGGAUGACCAGCCACACUGGAACUGAGACACGGUCCAGACUCCUACGGGAGGCAGCAGUGGGGAAGAUUGCACAAUGGGCGAAAGCCUGAUGCAGCCAUGCCGCGUGUAUGAAGAAGGCCUUCGGGUUGUAAAGUACUUUCAGCGGGGAGGCGUUACCCGCAGAAGAAGCACCGGCUAACUCCGUGCCAGCCGCCGCGGUAAUAC